AAUUUUGCCAUAAAGGCAAUAUUCCAUUCCUUUAACUUCUUUAUUCCCAGACCCCCCAAUCCCAUUACAUAUUUGGCUCGUAUUUCUUGGAAUGGCAGUUUUAACCUAGGUUUAAAAUACAUUCAAAAAACAAACCUAGGUUUACAAAACUCAUAUCGACUUCGAAUAUUCAUCGUCUUCUUCGUCUACUUGCCGUUCUUCGGCGGAACUUUGGUCCAAAAAACUGAUAUUGAUAUCUUCGAUUGUUCAUCGUCUGUUCGUCAACUUGUCGUACUUCAGCGGAACUUUGGUAAGACUCCUCUCCUUUGUUAUUUAUUAAUUUUAAUUUCAUCAUCUUAUAUUUGUUGGAAUUUCAAAAUUCGGGCACCUUCUAUUCAUCUAUUUUCUUAUAAUUGAGUUUCAGAUUUGUUUGGUUAGAAUUAUAGGUGAUUUGGUUUAGCCGCUUAACAACUAAUUGAUAUAUUGAAUUGAAUGGGCACCUUCAUCUAUUAAAUGUAGUUGAGUUUUAAGGUCGGUGGAGAACAAUAAUGGUAGAAGUCGGUUGAAGGGGUAGUCGACUGUGGGGGGGGGGGGGGGGAGCGUAGGUGGAGGCUAGUAGUGGUGGAAGACGGUUGAAGGGUGUUUGGUUGGUGGUGUAAUGGAGGGGGCAGAGGAGGUAGGGGUCAGCAACUGUGUACUUCAAAAUAAGAGUUAUACUUUUAUUGUAAUUUAAAGGCUCUUUUCCUUUUGAGGUCAUUGGAGGCUUAUAUUAUACAAUGAUAUUUCGUUCUCUACAGUUUUGUUACUUCAUCAAAACAAUGUUUCACAAGAAAUAACUUCAUAUAAGAUCAAGGCUGCUGGUAUGGAAUAAUACAUUCUUCAAUUGAUAUAUGAUAUAUCAACUCUAAAUAUUCCUAUUUAGUGCAUUUGCAUGCCACUCUUUAUCCUCGGUUAUUUAUCUAAGACAGUAACGAGGGAUAACUAUUAAGAUCAAUGAAUUGCCAAUUGGUUACGAGGUUGCAUCACAAAUAUAACUCUGGUCAUAGCCUAAAAAGUUGAAGUAAUGAUGUAAGCUUCACCAACCAGUUGGGUAAGGAGAGAGGAUAGAUCAGCAGCUCAGAUCAUUUGCAGGUUCUAACAAUCACUUAAGAGAGGCUAUUUUUGAAUUACCUGCUAUUACUUUAAGGGAGUCACAAGUUACUAGAAGUAUCUUACAACUGAUUGUGCUCAAACAAUAACUGCGACUAUUUAUUGCUAGAACAUUUAUUAUCUUUUCAAGAGUGAAUCCCUUUACAACUAUGUCCCUAACCUAGGGAGAAACCUAAAGGAUAAACCCUCCAUUACCAUAUGAUUUACAACCAAUCUGCUGAAGUUUAUAAUAUAAGCAUGUGUUCAAUGUAAGCAUAAGCUUCUUGCAUGUUUUCUUAAAUCCACUAGAUUGUUUUUUCAAGUUGCUCAUUUGUCUUUGCCACUUUUCAGAAACAUAGUUUAUCAAAGAUGUGUAACAGACAAAUUGAAGACGUAAAUACACGACUAGUAGGAAAAGAAACCCAAAUUACUGCUCAUUGCUCUGCUGACAGACUUUAGUGUUGGCUCCAACUUUUUCUUAUAUAAGGUCAGAAGCAGUUUCAGUUUGCAAAGUGUGGGAAACACAGGUGUUUUCUGGUUGUCAGGUAGUGUGGUUGCAACUCGGUUUCUUUCUGGUGUUUUAUUCUGGUCUGGUGUUUUUUUGUUGGUGUGUCUUAUGGUGUAUUCUAGUUUGUUAUGUGUUUUUUCUUUUCUUAUUUGUUCAGGUGUUUUUGGCCUCUGUCUUUAAGAAUCUAGGCAGUUUCUUUGACUGGUGUUUCUGGUUUGCAGGAGUGCCUCAGAUCUGGUUGGUUAAUGUGUGGUUUGCUUUUGGUCUGGCGUGUUUUGUCGUUGGUUUGCAUUGUUCUUUCAUUUCUGGUGUGCAGGAGUGUCUCAGCUUUGGUGUGUAGGGUGGUUUAUUAUUACUGAAAGUGUUUAGUCUCUUUAUGAGGGUCUGCAUUUAUUUUCUAUUUUUUCCUCUAACCUUGCAACUUAUGCAGUUAUGCUUAUCACUUGCCCAAAUGAACAAAUGAUUGGUACGGUUAGUGUAUGUGUAUUCUUUAGCUUCCUUUGACUUGCCAAGAUUAUUUUAUUACAUGAUUGAAAUUGUUUAAUGAGAGAUCUACACAUAAACUAUAGUAUCACGGUGUUGGCAAAUGCUUCCAGAAGAAUAUUAGGGAUUAUAUUAUUUCCUGGUAAGUGGAUGUUUACGUGUCUUUUAAGAUAAAAUAUUUGAACUUAAUUGUGUUGUAGAAAUUAAUAUUUAAUUUAUAGAGAGACUCGAAUGAUCUCUAUUUAUAUAUCGAUGAGAGUAAUCAUAAUUACAUAUACAAUCUAUCAAUAAUUUUUUUACAAAGUGUUUGAAUAUUUCUUCAUUUUAUAAAUUACCCUAGCUUGACUGCAAAAAUGAUUGCAACAGUUUUGGUGUCUACGUUUUCAAGUGAUGCAUAAAUAAUUGUUGGACACCAAUCUCGGUCAUGGUUACAUAUAGGUAUGCUUUAUAAAGCUUCUUUACUUAUUUUGUUAUAUGUAGAUUUAGAAUUACGAUGUUUGAUGCUUAUGAAAUUGUGGUGUUUGAUGAUUUUGAACUUUUGGUGUUUGAUUAUUGUGGAAUUUCGGUGUUUGAUGAUUGUGAAGUUAUGAAUGAAUUAGGCAGUAACUCCAUAAAAGAGAAUACCUUGAAUUUCGAAGACAAUUCUAGAGAAGGAGAAGUUUUUGGAGAGACAUGGAAUGAGCUACAACUUCAAUGUUCUGGGAUAUUUUUUGUUCAAAAUGAUUCCGCUUGUUUAUAUAUAGCGGAAACAGGAAUCGGUAAACGGGAAUAAAAAAACCUAAAACUGAGUUCAUUUUGGCCUGUUCUGCUGAGUUGUUUGUUCUGGUUGUCAGUCUGCAAUAGUAGUUCUAUUUCCGCAAGCGUGGCCUCUGGUUACUGGUGUGUUCAAGCAGUAUUGCAUACUUUUUUUUGACUUAGUGGUUUUCAGCUGUUGGUUUGCAGGAUUGUAGCAAGUUUUUGUUCAGAUAGGGAGGGGAGGUUAUUUACUAUGUGACUUGUACUGCUUUCAAAUAUUAAAGAUUACCUAUUA